UAGCUGCAUGUAUUAAAUGUUCUGCUUAUUAAUAAUUAUUAUAUAGUCCCAAGCAUUCGAAAAAGUCAAUUGAUCAAUAUCCUCACUAGUGAAGAUAUGGAGAAUAUGUCACUGUGUAUUUCUCAGUACUCACUCUCUGCUAUAUAAUAAAUGAGAAUACAAGCGGUACAAAGGUAUAUACUAUAUAGCUUACCUAUUUGUGCCCAAAGUAAAC